ensembl:miRNA mdo-mir-885 mdo-mir-885
GAUUUUGGGCAAGUCAGUUCACCACUGUCUGCCUAAGCUUCCUGAGAGGCAGCGUGGUGUAGUGGAUAGAGUGCUGGACUCGGAGUC